GCACUGCUGAGGAGUCCCACAAUAGGGUGAAAUGGCCGUCCAGUGU
rfam:Schistosoma mattheei strain Denwood, Zambia genome assembly, scaffold: SMTD_contig0013260